UAUUUUAAAGAGAGUUUGAUCCUGGCUCAGGACGAACGCUGGCGGCGUGCCUAAUACAUGCAAGUCGAACGAACGGAGGAAGAGCUUGCUCUUCCAAAGUUAGUGGCGGACGGGUGAGUAACACGUGGGCAACCUGCCUGUAAGUUGGGGAUAACUCCGGGAAACCGGGGCUAAUACCGAAUGAUAGAGUGUGGCGCAUGCCAGGCUCUUGAAAGAUGGUUUCGGCUAUCGCUUACAGAUGGGCCCGCGGUGCAUUAGCUAGUUGGUAGGGUAAUGGCCUACCAAGGCAACGAUGCAUAGCCGACCUGAGAGGGUGAUCGGCCACACUGGGACUGAGACACGGCCCAGACUCCUACGGGAGGCAGCA
rnacentral:rRNA from 1 species